GGGCGAGAAAAAAAAACAGCCCAGCCAGCCGCACGACUCUGCCUCACGCCCCCACCUCCUGCCCGCCCGCCUCACCGUGCGCCGCCGGCCACCCCCCGCCGUCGAGCACCGCCACCGGCUACCCUCCUCCCUUCGGGAUCCCCGAGCGCCCGACCCGGCCUUCGUUCGUCGCCAGCACCUGCGGAUCCGGCCGCCCCUCGCCUUCCCCGUCGGUUGCACCUCCCAGCGCUGCCGCCCCUGCCAAGCUCCGCCGUCUGGAUCCACAUCCCCAUGGCCGGAACGAGUCCUCCUCGAGGAGCCGCGCAUCCUCUACCUGCUCCAACUGCGCACGUCCUCUGCUAGGUCGACUCCCGCCGCCUACGACGAUCGCUGCCGUCAGAUCUACUCCAACUUGAGCGCCCCCAGGUAAAGCUGUAGAUGUCAAAUAUGCUCUGAACUUUACUGCACAAGCAUUCGACAGCAUGGUUCUAUUAGUGACCGAGGGAUUUGGAGGUACAGGUACUGAAGGGUAAUGGAUUUGAAGGUUGCUAUAUCUUGAGUUGUCCCAUUGUCUUACUAAAUUCAGGAUUCAACUUAGGAGAGUGUACAGAAUAUCCAGGUUUGUAUUGUUUCCGGUGUAUGUUGGUCAUGCAUCGGAUGUCACUCAGUUUCUAGGAAAUUCAAGAUGGCAUGUAAGCUUCUCCUAUUUGAUGUAUUUUUACUUUCUCAAAAUCUCUUUAUUAAUACCAAUGAUGAUUUUAUUUCUGCCUGAUGACUUGCUGUCACAUUGUUUAGCAAAGAAACAGACAAACAAGGAGAGAAAACUUAAACAAGAGAGAUGUAUGAGGAUGUCAGCGUCUCAGCAAACAUGUAUUGUGUGAGGACACCCUUCGUCCGACCUAAUCUUGACGAUCAUCUGUAGGUACCCACAUACAUGUUCUUCCCGGCCGCCUCUUGGUUUAGUUCACAUGUCUUGAAUUACUUUGAUCCUUUUGGUAACAUCAAACUGGGUUGCAUAGAAGUAACUGCUAACUGGGUUUGACCUUUGUGAGGAAUCUACAGCAGCACUUCAAAACUCCCAGGCUGUUUUCAUCAGCAAGCUUACAGCUGACCACAUGAUGGAACUCGAUAAUACUACACUGUACGAUGUACUUGAGAUUCCAAUGAAUACCCGUCGAAGCGAUGUGGUCAUCAGCAUGUAUGCUCUCAAUCUCCUGCUAGGAACUUUGAACGAAGGAAAGCAAUACAGGGCCGCCUUUAUAUCUUGGGUCACUCCAUAGCAGGGAGCAACAGUGGGCACAUCUGAGUUCAGAUAUUCAGUCACUGUUUUCCAAUCCAUCUCAAGCUCCACAGGUCCUCUGGAAACUUUUGCCAGAGCAGCCAAACUAGGGCUAUCCGGGCUUCAGCUUCCUCCACACUGUCGGAAACUGGUAACUCGCAGUCUAUAAUAUGCAUGCUUUGCCGGUUCCCUGCAAGCACUUUCGGCCAUGACCUCAAGUUCUGCAGGUAGGCCGUGAAUAUCUUGAUCCUUCUUACCGUCCACCGAUGAUGGCCCGACAGAAAUCAGGGAAGGAGAAAAGGAUGUUGUUGUCAUGGUCGUCGGAACGACUUGCCGUGGAUGCAGUUAUGCACUGGAUGACAUCAACGGCUAGCCAUGGACGAGCACCUCGCCGCCUCCGCAAAAUAUGGAUGCACGGGAUUCUGCUACUAACAUUUCAGUGUGUUCUGUUGCGGUGCUGUGACAUAUACACCUUCAGCGCGCAUGUAAUGUUUGUCAGCUACUACUUUAGAUAAAUAACCACUGUAUUCUAUUGUAUGUGUAAUUGAAAUGUUCAUGUGUUUAAUCAUCUGGCAAAGAUGCUCACUGGAUGUUUCUUAUAA